GAUGAAGAACGUAGCGAAAUGCGAUACGUAAUGUGAAUUGCAGAAUUCAGUGAAUCAUCGAAUGUUUGAACGCGUAUUGCGCUCUCUGGUAUUCCGGAGAGCAUGCUUGUUUGAGUAUCAGUAAACACCUCAACUACCUUUUCUUUUUUGAAAUUGGAGCUGGACUUGAGUGAUCCCAACGCUUUCUUCCAAGAAAGUGGCGGGUUGCUUGAAAUGCAGGUGCAGCUGAACUUUUCUCUGAGCUAUAAGCAUAUCUAUUUAGUCUGCCUAAAAAACAGAUUAUUACCUUUGCUGCAGCUAACAUAAAGGAGACUAGUUCUUGUGCUGACUGAUGCAGGAUUCACAGAGACAGCUUCGGCUGACUUUGUAAACUCGAUCUCAAAUCAAGUAAGACUACCCGCUGAACUUAAGCAUAUCAAUAAGCGGAGGA
rnacentral:misc_RNA from 1 species